CCUCGUCGACCACACGACACAAGGCUACAACCGCACCAAAACACACACCCUCGGGUCCGGAGCCGUCGCUCCGACUUCCACCACUUGUAGGCGAGCCGCACCGCUGCACAACACCGAGGCCUUGUAGCCCAUGCUACACAAAACGCUCGCCUGUAGACCACUGGCGGCUCCAGCGCACGGGAACACCACCAUUGUAGACGAAGAGCUCCAAUCAACCGAGACCAUACAUCAUGCCUCAAGGCUAUUGGUGCAGCCGAAGGGCAAUGCGUGACCGAGUCCAUACCCAGAUCAAGAGUCACACGCACCUGAGGCAACAUCACAAUAGCGGCACCCCUGACGAAGCCGAGGGGCAUCAAGGAGCCAGUCUACACCCGGAUUGCUUCACUAUAUACACAA
rnacentral:lncRNA from 1 species